GAUGAACGCUGGCGGCGUGCCUAAUACAUGCAAGUCGAACUCUGGAGAUCUAGCUUGCUAGAUCGAAGGAGUGGCGAACGGGUGAGUAAUACAUAAGCAACCUACCCACGAAGACUGGGAUAAUCUCUGGAAACGGGGACUAAUACCGGAUAGGUAAUCGGAAGGCAUCUUCUGGUUAUUAAAGGUUAAAAACACUGGUGGAUGGGCUUAUGGCGCAUUAGUUAGUUGGUGAGGUAACGGCCCACCAAGACGAUGAUGCGUAGCCGGCCUGAGAGGGUGAACGGCCACAUUGGGACUGAGACACGGCCCAGACUCCUACGGGAGGCAGCAGUAGGGAAUUUUCGGCAAUGGGGGCAACCCUGACCGAGCAACGCCGCGUGAGUGAAGACGGCCUUCGGGUUGUAAAGCUCUGUUGUAAGGGAAGAACGGUAGAUAGAGAAUAUCUAAGUGACGGUACCUUACCAGAAAGCCACGGCUAACUACGUG
rnacentral:rRNA from 1 species